AUUGAACGCUGGCGGCAGGCCUAACACAUGCAAGUCGAACGAGUGGCGGACGGGUGAGUAAUGUCUGGGAAACUGCCUGAAGGAGGGGGAUAACUACUGGAAACGGUAGCUAUUACAGCAUACCACCAGAUGAGCCCAGAUGGGAUUAGCUUGUUGUUGGGGUAACGGCGCACAAAGGCGACGAUCCCUAGCUGGUCCGAGAGGAUGACCGGCAACACUGGAACUGAGACACGGUCCAUACUCCUACGUGAGGCAGCAGUGGGGAAUAUUGCACAAUGGGCGCAAGCCUGAUGCAGCCAUGCCGCGUGUAUGAAGAAGGCCUUCGGGUUGUAAAGUACUUUCAGCGGGGAGGCGUUACCCGCAGAAGAAGCACCGGCUAACUCCGUGCCAGCAGCCGCGGUAAUUC
rnacentral:rRNA from 1 species